UUUAAUAACAACUUAAUCUUAACUUCACACAAACUAAAUUUGUCCGUAAUGUACUUUGAACGAAUACACAGUAUAAUAAAGUGGAUGGAUCUUAUCAUCAAAUUCAACAACUCCACAAAAGUAAUAAGAUAAUCCCUUUGCACCACCUUUAUUAAAGUUAGCCAUUUCAACCUUGUUUUCGUCUCCAACUUGUGUUUCUCUAGCUUUUCUGUUACUGCAGAAGGAUACAACAACCCUAAAUUUAAGCCAAAGAAAACAACAUUCUCCAAACACUGAAAAUGAGUCACGAUCAAAACCAGCCUCAAGGUCCUUAUGAAGUUCCCCCACCUCCACCUGUAAUAAUUCUGGAAACGAAAUUCAAGGGUGAUGGCUUUUGGAGAGGAUGUUGUGCUGGAAUUUGUUGCUACUGUUGUUUGGACAUUUGCUUCUGAGAUAAUGGGAAUACUAUGCAUAGUACUGCAUGUAUUAUAUUUCUGAAUAAAAAGUAUAUGUUUUGUGCGUGUAAUAUUAUAAGGUUUCAAUCUCUAUGGAAUCUACAUGUAUAAUUAAAUUUUACUUCUUCUUUUUUAAUCUCUAUACAUUUUAUUGUAUUCUAAAGCUUCUAAUGUAUAGUUUUAUUAAAA
rnacentral:sRNA from 1 species